rnacentral:rRNA from 1 species
CGCUGGCGGCAUGCUUUACACAUGCAAGUCGAACGGCAGCGCGGGGCAACCUGGCGGCGAGUGGCGAACGGGUGAGUAAUAUAUCGGAACGUACCCAAGAGUGGGGGAUAACGUAGCGAAAGUUACGCUAGUACCGCAUACGAUCUACGGAUGAAAGUGGGGGAUCUUCGGACCUCAUGCUCCUGGAGCGGCCGAUAUCUGAUUAGCUAGUUGGUGAGGUAAAGGCUCACCAAGGCGACGAUCAGUAGCUGGUCUGAGAGGACGACCAGCCACACUGGGACUGAGACACGGCCCAGACUCCUACGGGAGGCAGCAGUGGGGAAUUUUGGACAAUGGGCGCAAGCCUGAUCCAGCAAUGCCGCGUGAGUGAAGAAGGCCUUCGGGUUGUAAAGCUCUUUUGUCAGGGAAGAAACGGCUGAGGCUAAUACCUUUGGCUAAUGACGGUACCUGAAGAAUAAGCACCGGCU